rnacentral:lncRNA from 10 species
AAAAGAGUCGUACACAAGCAAGCUCUCUAGCAUGUAUUCUUGUAAGGGCACUAACCCCAUUAUGAGGGCCCCACUCUCAUGACCUCUAAACUUCAUUACCUCCCAAAGAUCCCAUCUCUAAAUAGCAUCACAUUGGGGGUCAGGACUUGAAUAUAUAAAGGAGGUGGGGGACACCAUUCAGUCCAUAGAAAAAUGCUUCUUAUCUCUAUCUUUAAUACCUUCACUCUCUAACACAAUUGGAAACCUCCCCAGGGGCUCCAUGAACCGUGGCUGCAGGCUCUCAGGUACUCUAUCCCAGGACCACAAGGAGUUAAUUUGAUAUUUCCACCAAUGGAGGGUAUCAGGCUCUCAUUAAGCCAUUGUAAAAUGGAUGUAAUAAAACAACUGUUUUCUAAGAUUACUGUAACAAUAAAAAUAUUUGUUAAAACUA